rnacentral:rRNA from 1 species
UUCUCCUACGGGAGGCAGCAGUGAGGAAUAUUGGUCAAUGGGCGCGAGCCUGAACCAGCCAAGUAGCGUGAAGGAUGACUGCCCUACGGGUUGUAAACUUCUUUUAUAAAGGAAUAAAGUGAGGCACGUGUGCCUUUUUGUAUGUACUUUAUGAAUAAGGAUCGGCUAACUCCGUGCCAGCAGCCGCGGUAAUACGGAGGAUCCGAGCGUUAUCCGGAUUUAUUGGGUUUAAAGGGAGCGUAGGUGGAUUGUUAAGUCAGUUGUGAAAGUUUGCGGCUCAACCGUAAAAUUGCAGUUGAACCUGG